rnacentral:rRNA from 1 species
CGUGUAGGCGGCCUGAUAUGUCAGAUGUGAAAGCCCUGGGCUUAACCCAGGAAGUGCAUUUGAAACUGUCAGGCUCGAGUAGGGGAGAGGGAAGUGGAAUUCCUGGUGUAGAGGUGAAAUUCGUAGAUAUCAGGAGGAACACCGGUGGCGAAGGCGACUUCCUGGCCCUAUACUGACGCUGAGACGCGAGAGCGUGGGUAGCAAACAG